GACGAACGCUGGCGGCGUGCUUAACACAUGCAAGUCGAACGGAAAGGCCCUGCUUUUGUGGGGUGCUCGAGUGGCGAACGGGUGAGUAACACGUGAGUAACCUGCCCUUGACUUUGGGAUAACUUCAGGAAACUGGGGCUAAUACCGGAUAGGAGCUCCUGCUGCAUGGUGGGGGUUGGAAAGUUUCGGCGGUUGGGGAUGGACUCGCGGCUUAUCAGCUUGUUGGUGGGGUAGUGGCUUACCAAGGCUUUGACGGGUAGCCGGCCUGAGAGGGUGACCGGCCACAUUGGGACUGAGAUACGGCCCAGACUCCUACGGGAGGCAGCAGUGGGGAAUAUUGCACAAUGGGCGGAAGCCUGAUGCAGCAACGCCGCGUGCGGGAUGACGGCCUUCGGGUUGUAAACCGCUUUCGCCUGUGACGAAGCGUGAGUGACGGUAAUGGGUAAAGAAGCACCGGCUAACUACGUGCCAGCAGCCGCGGUGAUACGUAGGGUGCGAGCGUUGUCCGGAUUUAUUGGGCGUAAAGGGCUCGUAGGUGGUUGAUCGCGUCGGAAGUGUAAUCUUGGGGCUUAACCCUGAGCGUGCUUUCGAUACGGGUUGACUUGAGGAAGGUAGGGGGGAAUGGAAUUCCUGGUGGAGCGGUGGAAUGCGCAGAUAUCAGGAGGAACACCAGUGGCGAAGGCGGUUCUCUGGGCCUUUCCUGACGCUGAGGAGCGAAAGCGUGGGGAGCGAACAGGCUUAGAUACCCUGGUAGUCCACGCUGUAAACGGUGGGUACUAGGUGUGGGGUCCAUUCCACGGGUUCCGUGCCGUAGCUAACGCUUUAAGUACCCCGCCUGGGGAGUACGGCCGCAAGGCUAAAACUCAAAGGAAUUGACGGGGCCCCGCACAAGGGGCGGAGCAUGCGGAUUAAUUCGAUGCAACGCGUAGAACCUUACCUGGGUUUGACAUGGAUCGGGAGUGCUCAGAGAUGGGUGUGCCUCUUUUGGGGUCGGUUCACAGGUGGUGCAUGCCUGUCGUCAGCUCGUGUCGUGAGAUGUUGGGUUAAGUCCCGCAACGAGCGCAACCCUUGUUCACUGUUGCCAGCACGUUAUGGUGGGGACUCAGUGGAGACCGCCGGGGUCAACUCGGAGGAAGGUGGGGAUGACGUCAAGUCAUCAUGCCCCUUAUGUCCAGGGCUUCACGCAUGCUACAAUGGCUGGUACAGAGAGUGGCGAGCCUGUGAGGGUGAGCGAAUCUCGGAAAGCCGGUCUCAGUUCGGAUUGGGGUCUGCAACUCGACCUCAUGAAGUCGGAGUCGCUAGUAAUCGCAGAUCAGCAACGCUGCGGUGAAUACGUUCCCGGGGCU
rnacentral:rRNA from 1 species